AACGAACGCUGGCGGCAGGCUUAACACAUGCAAGUCGAACGGGCGUAGCAAUACGUCAGUGGCAGACGGGUGAGUAACACGUGGGAACCUUCCUAGAGGUACGGAACAACUCAGGGAAACUUGAGUUAAUACCGUAUACGCCCGUGAGAGGAAAGAUUUAUCGCCUUUAGACGGGCCCGCGUCGGAUUAGGUAGUUGGUGGGGUAACGGCCUACCAAGCCUACGAUCCGUAGCUGAUCUUAGAGGAUGAUCAGCCACACUGGGACUGAGACACGGCCCAGACUCCUACGGGAGGCAGCAGUGGGGAAUCUUGGACAAUGGGCGCAAGCCUGAUCCAGCCAUGCCGCGUGAGUGAAGAAGGCCUUAGGGUUGUAAAGCUCUUUUACCAGGGACGAUAAUGACGGUACCUGGAGAAUAAGCCCCGGCAAACUUCGUGCCAGCCGCCGCCGUAA
rnacentral:rRNA from 1 species